rnacentral:lncRNA from 12 species
AUGCAAACAAAACAAUGGAUUAUUUACCAAGAUAUAUGGAUGUAUGAACUCAUUUCGAUAAAACACUUCUGGUCUACUCUAGAGUUUUUACUCUGCAGAAAACUGACAAGCAACCCAACCCACCAACAGACGAGGAAGAUGAGGAUGAUAAUCACAGUGCUCCAGCAUAUACAAAGAGAAAGGUUUGUUAGUAUUUUUACCUUCCACAUUCUUAUUUUUGUUAAUGCAGUUGCAAUAAGAAAACUUAUUUUUUCCCCCAUAUUUCUUAAAGUAUGUAAGAGUGAAGAUUUGUUUAAGUGGGUUGUUGUUUUCAAAUAACCUCAACUAAAUGCAUUAGCUAGUUUCAGCUAUUUUUAUGAUGAGAAUGUCCUGUAGUCAUUUAUGCAUCAGUUUGUCUGAGAUCAUCUCUGUCCUGCUUUUACAGAUGCUAAAUAUAAGCAGACUAUACAUGUACAGAUGCUCAUCUCUGCCAAAACUCACGUGACUACAACGCAAACACAGCAUCACAGUUCAUGCUUCUUCACUCAGGAUGUAAAGACACACAGGAGUAACUGAUUAUUUCUCUUAACAUGCUACAGAUUUCUUUUAAUAUUUCUAUGUUUUGUAGUAACCAACAGAAGCUGAAGGAAUGGCAGACAUUACUCAGACACCUGUGAACACUGAGCAGUGGUUGGAGUCCAAGACAGUGAAAUCAUCUUUAUUAUACUUCUGACUGAACUAGCAAGGUGCUUUGGGGACCAUGAGAAAGUAAGUAGUAAAAUGUUUGCAUUGACCAUUUCACCGUGUUAUUUUUUUGUAGUAACUGCAGGGAAUAUUAAUUGAAGAUACCUGAUCAAAAGCAAGCUUUGGAUCUACUGAAUGUGUAUUUUUCAAGCAUUUUAUUGCAGGGUUCACUGUUAUUUUUCUGCAUAGCGAUGACUCGUGAAAAGUGUUUAUUAAUUUACUUCAAUGUAUAGUUAACCAGAAUUCUGUCUUUUACGUUUUACCAAACCUCUUACUUUUGUUUCUCUGCAGAACUCAAAAGAAGAUACUUUGAAGAAUGCUGGUAAUCAAACCCAACAAGUUUGUCAGGUACGGACAGUACGAAGGGGACAAAAUGAUUUUCAUAUUUUGGGUUAACUCUCUUUUAAUUAGCAUGCUACACACUAAAUAUUAAUCAUGCUGGGCACAGCCACUUAUUGUGCUGUCACUGCAGUUGGUGCUGUAAAUAGUCUGUCAAAUAAUAGGUACAUUGCUACAACAUACAUUUAAUGUAGUUCACAAUGAUGCAUUACAUGACACCUUUACUAAUAGAUCUUUAUAUUAUUUUUUUACAGGUGAGAAUAAAACUCAAACAAAGAGCAUGG